AUUCUCUAUAAACGGCACCAAGAUGCAAACGGUAUAUAAGAAUGUGCAUGCACCCGCUAGUAAAUUACUAGCGGGUGUAUACACAUUCUUAUAUACCGUUUGCAUAUUGGUGCCGUUUAUAGACAAU